UGAACACAAUUAGUUUUUUGACACUUUCUCUGAAUGAAAGCGAGUUUUUUUUUACGAAUUCCCUGAAAUAUAUACGACAAUUUCGUUCACAUUUUCAUUAAUUCUUUCAUAUUCUCAGAACAAUGCAGUUGCACAAUUUUAUCACUGUUGUAGUCUGGAUCAUUUCUCUUUGCAGUGUUUUGUGUUUGCCAAGUGAAUAUGGAGAAGUUCGUGGUAAAAGAGAAGGACAUCAUGGAGUUACAGGACCAGUUCAUACCUUUGUGAAAACCGACAAACACGCCAAUUUUAAAUGGG